rnacentral:rRNA from 1 species
UACGUAGGGUGCAAGCGUUAAUCGGAAUUACUGGGCGUAAAGCGUGCGCAGGCGGUUGUGCAAGACAGAUGUGAAAAUCCCCGGGCGUUAACCUGGGAACGUGCAUUUGUUGACUGCACGGCUAGAGUGUGUCAGAGGGGGGUAGGAAUUCCACGUGUAGCGGUGAAAUGCGUAGAGAUGAGGAGGAACACCAGUGGCGAAGGCGGCCACCUGGACAGUAACUGACGCUGGGGCGCGAAAGCGUGGGGAGCAAACAGGAUUAGAA